UGAGGAAUUUUGCGCAAUGGGAGCAAUCCUGACGCAGCAACGCCGCGUGGGUGAUGAAGGCCUUAGGGUCGUAAAGCCCUGUCAGGUGGGAAGAAUGUCCCGGAACUGAACAGGUUUCGGGAGUGACGGUACCACCAGAGGAAGCACCGGCUAACUCCGUGCCAGCAGCCGCGGUAAUACGGAGGGUGCAAGCGUUAUUCGGAAUUACUGGGCGUAAAGCGCGUGUAGGCGGUCCUGCGAGUCUGAUGUGAAAGCCCCGGGCUUAACCCGGGAAGUGCAUUGGAAACUGCAGGUCUUGAGUACUGGAGAGGAUGGGGGAAUUCGCGGUGGAGAGGUGAAAUUCGUAGAGAGCGGGAGGAAUAUCAGUGGCGAAGGCGACCAGCUGGACGGUAACUGACGCUGAGACGCGAAAGCGUGGGGAGCAAACA
rnacentral:rRNA from 1 species